AUGUGGACCCCGCCCGCUUCCCUUAUCCGCUCCCAUCCCUGGUGAGAAGGCUGCGGGCCGUCCCCGCCGCCGGCCACUUGCAUCCUCCUCUUCCUCCGCCGCUGGCGGACACUUGCAUCCUCCUCCUCUGCCCGCCACUUGCAUCUCCGUCCCUGCGGAUACGCUGCCGCACGCCAAUUACAUGCUCCCUUUCCCUCUUUUAGCUCUGGCGAACCACCGCGUCGUCUCCAACUCCGGCGAACUACCGCGGCAGCCGCACCCACCGGCACUCUACGACACGCUCGUAUGCCCAUGUUGCCCGCCAUCCAGUCCUCUCUUCGAACUCCGGCGUCCAGCAUUUCCACCGACCGCUGGCGAGUUUCACAAGCUCUCACGUCUGGAGGCGCAGAUCAAGAUUUCUCUCUCCUCUGUGGCAUCCCACACUUAUUUGCAGAAUGCUAUUCUUCGCAGGUUGUGCGUGCCGUCCCCAUGCGUGCACUUCAAGAUCCGCUUCUCCGUCGACGGCAUUGGUUUUACAUUUUUGCUUGUUUCCCUUUCCUGGUUAUUCAGUUAACGAACUGCUUGAGGCGAAGGUUGGCUGAUGGCUACGCUGUGCAUCUGGUUCAGCCCGGAUGCUAAUGUUCAGCAUUGUUUCACUGAUUAUAUGAGUUUGACUAUCGCACUGUUUGGGACGCUGUCAAAGUUAAUUGGGCAACUGCUAUAGGAUUUUAUCAAUACAUGAUGCUAAUUUUGUUUUC